UUUUGUGUCUUUAUGCAGCCGCUCCUUUUACGCUAAGGAAAGAUAAAGCAACUCGUAUGCAUCCAAUGUCUUCAGAUGUCACAAUUGCAUUUUUAAUAUAAGGUCUAUAUUGCAUGCUCUCUUAGAUAUAUACCUAUUAAAUCAGAGAAUUUUAAUAAUUCUAAUUAAGUGUAAGUGUUGAGGUUGGUUAUUCGGAGAUUCAAAAAGUAAUGGAUCUUCAAGGAACCGUACUCUAUCGUAGGGUUCUCUCUUGUAAAAUAGCCCUAGAUGUUUUUAUUAAAACACGAUAAUAGCAAGAUAGCCCUAGAAUUCAUAUUAAAGUUAGCCUCUUCUGCUACCUAUAUCGUCAAUUCUCAACCCACAUUAAUGUGUGAAAAAAGCGAAGGGACCUCUAGUUAAAAAAAGAGAAGUGGGAAAAUGCAAGACAUAUAAUAGCUUUCACUAUGGAUUAUACCUAUAUAUACUAUAUGAAGACUUAUUUGUUGUAGUUUAUAUUGGUUCAUGAAACUAGUUUUAUAACUUUUACCAAAAAAAACACUAGUUUUACAAGAAACGACCCCAUGGACUUUGGUGGUGUGCGAUUUGUAAUCUUCUUUCAAUUCUUUUGAAAUACUUUCUGAAAAUUGCUCAUCAUCAUGAUGUUCUUGCUUUGUACCUAACUUUUAGUGUAUUGCGGUUUAAAUUAAUAGAACACUGAAGUGGGAAAAAAGAGACUAUGCUUUACAUUCUUUGGGUAUUUAAAAGUCACUUUUUGUUGAUUUUUCCCCCAUAAGUUCACUAGUUGAAGGUUAUCUGACAAAAAAAAAUUGUUGAGAUAACAAAAUAGGAGUGAACUUGUCACCAUAAGUUCUUUAAAUAGAAAAAUAUAUUUGAAGAUUAGUAUGGACCACGACCCUAAGUUUCCUAGUUUUAUAUAUAUGGAGAUUGCAUUUAGCUCAAAUUUCUCCACAUAAGUUCUAUAAAGUGAGACUCUCAAUAGUGUCAACUGCAUGCUUCUCGUCUAUGUGGCUUGCAUAGCACCGGAGGCGAAUUCUCUUUCUUGUUAUUUUGUCUAUUUCAUAAUCUUACCUAUGUUCUAGUUUUUCUUCGUUCUAGGUCUUUGGUUUAGAGGUCAUUGGAGGCGCAUGGAGAACGUUUCUAUCAAACAGUAGUGAUCUGCUUUCACCCACUCCAUGUGGUUGGUACUGAAGUGUUGGAGUCUUCGACGAUCCGUUUUCCGUCUUGGUUUUUCUCUUUAGUUUUGUUCUGGCCUUUUUGUUAAACGGUUUUGGUUUUUGAUACCUUAUGUCUCACCUCCUUUCGAAAUUGGAUCAAGUUUCAUUUUGGGAUUGGUCUUGCUUCCGUUGUUUUCAUGGACAUAUGUUUCAGUGGUGGUGAUAUUGGAAGUGAUUGAUUAUCUAUAUGGUUUGUACUUUGUAGUUCAAAUUUGUUCAAUGAUAAAGGUAACUGAAGAGGAAGACUUAUCUACA